GAUGAACGCUGGCGGCGUGCCUAACACAUGCAAGUCGAGGGAUUCUCUUCGGAGAAGAGCGGCGGACGGGUGAGUAACGCGUGGGUAACCUGCCCUGUACACACGGAUAACAUACCGAAAGGUAUGCUAAUACGAGAUAAUAUGCUUUUAUCGCAUGGUAGAAGUAUCAAAGCUUUUGCGGUACAGGAUGGACCCGCGUCUGAUUAGCUAGUUGGUAAGGUAACGGCUUACCAAGGCGACGGAUCAGUAGCCGACCUGAGAGGGUGAUCGGCCACAUUGGAACUGAGACACGGUCCAAACUCCUACGGAGGCAGCAGUGGGGAAUAUUGCACAAUGGGCGAAAGCCUGAUGCAGCAACGCCGCGUGAGCGAUGAAGGCCUCGGUCGUAA
rnacentral:rRNA from 1 species